GGGGUAAGGCUGCGGCAGCCGCUCCCAUAAGGAGCCCUGGGCUCCUGUUGGACGGGGUGUGGGAUUCGGGGGGGGAUGGGGCGAGGCUGGGCCUGCUCGGGUGUUCCCUUCACAUCUUGCCCUCUCGGAGCCUGGUGGUGGUCCGAGGAGUCAACACAGGGGGAUAGAGCACCUUUCCCUCACAGAAACCCAGUGCGGAGCCGUCCUCUCCGCCCUGCAUCCUGUCGUGAGGCACAUGCGGUCCCCCUCCCUUCUCCCACCCCCGCCCCCUGUUCUGGGCUGACUUCUCUCUCCCUCCGCAGUGUGUGGCGUGGGCCGCACGCACCCCCAUGGCGACCGCCCGGCGGGGAGGAUGGCGGCAGAAAGCGUCCCAAGGCACCGGCAAGGCCUUCAGAUGCCCCGGAAGGGUUUGUCCGCUGGCCUGCCGCGCUCGGCCGCUCCCGGCUUGGGCAGAAGGCAAAGCAAGCUAGGCCUUGCCGGUGGGAAGUGUUGGGGUUCUGGAGUCGUGCCUUUGAACGCCUAUAGGGGUUGCACUUAGCAACUUCAUGUUUGAAAUAUUCUAGACAUGGAUGAUCACACCUAAAUUAGAAGCAAUGCUCAGGACUUCUUAGGAAUGAAUAAUACCUUCCACUAGAAGGUUUUUAAGUGUGUUGAUACUUCGUGAACCUAUGGGAUAAACAUCUUGAGUGAAAAAGAAUUCCUGAUAAAUUGAUUGGUCUCCAGGGAGGAAACCAGCAUGUGCAAGGGAUUUGAACUGAUAUUAAACAUCAGCUUAUGAAUUGAUGAGUGGCUGAUUUCUGAAUUCAUACUAGAUGACUCCAGUUGUCACCUGUAAUGUUUUGUCUUGAAAGUGGAAUUGAGACAAGCAAUGGCUAAAAUGUCACAUCUUCAAAGAUCAAGUUAAAACAGAAACCUCGCCAUUUGUUGAAACUGAGGUUUCUUAACAAAAACUGCUGUAAUGUAUUUCUAUGUCUGUGUGGAUUAACUGAAAUAAAACAUGAGUCUGCUAUCAGAA